GUUGUUUAUGUAAGAAUUUCAAGGCCACAACUCCAUAUUUGAAGUAAAGUGCUCAUAAAAUUAAUUGCAAGACUUCUGAAGAGAGAUUUGCUAGGAAAAAUAAAAAGAUAUAUAAAUUUCAGUGAUGCUGAAGUGGAGCAAUGAACUGAAGAUAUUUGAGUGAGUUCAAGAGAGACUCAGAAGAGAAGAAUUGGAGGCAGCAAACAUAGACAGCACUUUUAAUGCUUUUCUCAUAUGCUGUAAGACAUGAAAGCAAUCUAUUGGGAUGAAAGCUGAAAGGAGAAGCGGGACAAGAGAAGUGAAUCCGUGGAAGACCCCCAAAAGAGGCUGCAGAUUCUUAGUGGACAGCUCUCAUAUCCCCUCCAGGGAAAAUGAUGAAAAAUGUCUUCAGAAAAAUAGCUUUAUGAAGGCAAGAGGACUUUUUGCACCUGCAAGACAUGUCUGAAAGCUCCUCAGGUCAAAACACAAGUAGUCAAGAGAUUUGUCCAUCUAAUUCAUCAUACUACUCUGAUCCAAGUGAGACCCACACUGGGUCAGCUCCAUCAAGGAGAAGAACAUUCCACCCACGUUUGGAUUCUGGAAUAUCAUCCUUGCUUCCAUCAGAUUCUUGUAAGUACCUCACUUGGCACAAGGUAGACAUGACGUUCAAGGAAGUCAACUGCGUUGCCCAAGAGUAAGAGAAGGAAUCUCUGAAGAAGAGCAACUUUUCAGACAGGUAGAGUGUGCCUUGCUCCCAAGGAAAAGAGUUCUUGAAAAAAACAAAUGGGAAACAUGGCUACAAGAAAACUGGGAAGACUGCAAGAGUAUUCUCCUGUUUGCCAAACUUAAAAAUGCUGGAUGGAAUCUUGAAGCUACCAGAAGAUUGCUUAUCACCAGAAACCAAUAUUUUUUCAAAAAUAUGCCUUGUAUCCUAAUGCAGUCUGUAUAGAAAGAAAGCAAUCAUCAUUGUUGCUAAAAGCUAAUAAACACAGGACAUGCAUGAUUAAA
ensembl:lncRNA LRRC77P leucine rich repeat containing 77, pseudogene